rnacentral:rRNA from 1 species
GAUGAACGCUGGCGGCGUGCCUAAUACAUGCAAGUCGAGCGAACAGAUGAGGAGCUUGCUGCUCUGACGUUAGCGGCGGACGGGUGAGUAACACGUGGAUAACCUAUCUAUAAGACUGGGAUAACUUCGGGAAACCGGAGCUAAUACCGGAUAAUAUAUUGAACCGCAUGGUUCAAUAGUGAAGGACGGUUUUGCUGGCACUUAUAGAUGGAUCCGCGCCGCAUUAGCGAGUUGGUAAGGUAACGGCUUACCAAGGCAACGAUGCGUAGCCGACCUGAGAGGGUGAUCGGCCACACUGGAACUGAGGCACGGUCCAGACUCCUACGGGAGGCAGCAGGAGGGAAUCUUCCGCAAUGGGCGAAUGCCUGACGGCGCAACGCCGCGUGAGUGAUGAAGGUCUUCGGCUCUUAAAGCUCUGUUAUUAGGGAAGACCAAAUGUGUAAGUAACUAUGCACGUCUUGACGGUACCUAAUCAGAAAGCCACGGCUAACUACGUG